UAGGCGAACGGGUGAGUAACGCGUGAGGAACCUGCCUCAAAGAGGGGGACAACAGUUGGAAACGACUGCUAAUACCGCAUAAGCCCACGGGUCGGCAUCGACCUGAGGGAAAAGGAGCAAUCCGCUUUGAGAUGGCCUCGCGUCCGAUUAGCUAGUUGGUGAGGUAACGGCCCACCAAGGCGACGAUCGGUAGCCGGACUGAGAGGUUGAACGGCCACAUUGGGACUGAGACACGGCCCAG
rnacentral:rRNA from 1 species